rnacentral:rRNA from 1 species
AUUGAACGCUGGCGGCAGGCCUAACACAUGCAAGUCGAGCGGACGAAGGGAGCUCUCUCCUGGAUUAAGCGGCGGACGGGUGAGUAAUGCCUAGGAAUCUGCCUGGCAGUGGGGGAUAACGUCAGGAAAGGGGCGCUAAUACCGUAUACGUCCUGAGGGAGAAAGUGGGGGAUCUUCGGACCUCACGCGAUCAGAUGAGCCUAGGUCGGAGUAGCUAGUUGGUGGGGUAAAGGCCUACCAAGGCGACGAUCCGUAACUGGUCUGAGAGGAUGAUCAGUCACACUGGAACUGAGACCCGGUCCAGACUCCUACGGGAGGCAGCAGUGGGGAAUAUUGGACAAUGGGCGAAAGCCUGAUCCAGCCAUGCCGCGUGUGUGAAGAAGGUCUUCGGAUUGUAAAGCACUUUAAGUUGGGAGGAAGGGCAGUAAGUUAAUACCUUGCUGUUUUGACGUUACCAACAGAAUAAGCACCGGCUAACUUCGUG